rnacentral:rRNA from 1 species
UACGGAGGGUGCAAGCGUUGUUCGGAUUUACUGGGCGUAAAGCGCGCGCAGGUGGAUGAACAAGUCGGAAGUGAAAUCUUGAGGCUCAACCUCGAGGCUGCUCCCGAAACUGUUCGUCUAGGGACUGGUAGAGGCUGGUAGAAUUCCCGGUGUAGCGGUGGAAUGCGUAGAGAUCGGGAAGAAUACCCGUGGCGAAGGCGGCAUCCUGGACCGAUACUGACGCUGAGGAGCGAAAGCCAGGGGAGCAAAGCGGG